rnacentral:rRNA from 1 species
GAUGAACGCUGGCGGCGUGCCUAAUACAUGCAAGUCGAACGAACAGACGAGGAGCUUUCUCUUCUUACGUUAGCGGCGGGCGGGUGAGUAACACGUGGAUAACCUACCUAUAUGACUGGGAUAACUUCGGGAAACCGGAGCUAAUACCGGAUAAUAUAUUGAACCGCAUGGUUCAGUAGUGAAAUACGGUUUUGCUGUCACUUAUAGAUGGAUCCGCGCCGCAUUAGGUAGUUGGUAAGCUAACGGCUUACCAAGGCAACGAUGCGUAGCCGACCUGAGAGAGUGAUAGGCCACACUGGAACUGAGACACGGUCAAGACUCCUACGGGAGGCAGCAGUAGGGAAUCUUCCGCAAUGGGCGAAAGCUUGACGGAGCAACGCCGCGUGAGUGAUGAAGGUCUUCGGAUCGUAAAACUCUGUUAUUAGGGAAGAACAAAUGUGUAAGUAAAUAUGCACGUAUUGACGGUACCUAAACAGAAAGCCACGGCUAACUACGUG